AACCUGCCCUUCAGAGGGGGACAACAGUUGGAAACGACUGCUAAUACCGCAUACGAUCCAAUCCCGGCAUCGGGACUGGAUGAAAGGUGGCCUCUAUUUAUAAGCUAUCGCUGGAGGAGGGGAUUGCGUCUGAUUAGCUAGUUGGAGGGGUAACGGCCCACCAAGGCAAUGAUCAGUAGCCGGUCUGAGAGGAUGAACGGCCACAUUGGGACUGAGACACGGCCCAG
rnacentral:rRNA from 1 species